AUUGAACGCUGGCGGCAUGCUUUACACAUGCAAGUCGAACGGUAACAGGCCGCAAGGUGCUGACGAGUGGCGAACGGGUGAGUAAUGCAUCGGAACGUGCCCAGUCGUGGGGGAUAACGCAGCGAAAGCUGCGCUAAUACCGCAUACGAUCUAUGGCUGAAAGCGGGGGACCGAAAGGCCUCGCGCGAUUGGAGCGGCCGAUGUCAGAUUAGGUAGUUGGUGGGGUAAAGGCUCACCAAGCCGACGAUCUGUAGCUGGUCUGACAGGACGACCAGGCACACUGGGAAUGAGACACGGCCCAGACUCCUACGGGAGGCAGCAGUGCGGAAUUUUGGACACUGGGCGCAAGCCUGGUCCAGCAAUGCCGCGUGCAGGAAGAAGGCCUUCGGGUUGUAAACUGCUUUUGUACGGAACGAAACGGCCCUGGUUAAUACCUGGGGCUCAUGACGGUACCGUAAGAAUAAGCACCGGCUAACUACGUGCCAGCCGCCGCCGUAAUAC
rnacentral:rRNA from 1 species